rnacentral:misc_RNA from 1 species
CGGCUAAUUUUUGCUCGGGGCCAAUUCCGGCCGCGUCCUUGGGCGCGCUGUUGCCGGUUUAAUAAUGCAACACGCCACUGUGUCAGUGUGCCAAUCCUUGGUCGGGUAUUCGUGACAACUGACAAGUCGCCGCAACAGCAGCCUUUCCGCUUUGGAACCUUUAUUGAAGGUGCCGGACCAUAUUCCGCCUGCUUGGCCGUUACUCAUUUUCACCGACGAAACGAGCUCAUCCCGGAAUGCGAGCGCCUCAGUGGGGGUGGGAUCAUUCGGGGGCCUCGCCACCCCGUGAAUUAUUCCUAAGCCGUCCAUGGAACACGGGGGUGGAGCAACGUGGACUGACGUUGACUGACGUUCAACAGACGUUUCCCAUUAUUUUGAAUAGUAGAAAAUCGACGAAUCUUCAGAGCCAUACGUCGCCGCUGAAUACACCGCCGUUUCCACGAAACGUUUUCAGUUUGUAAAAC